UGGGGAAUAUUGCACAAUGGGCGGCAAGCCUGAUGCAGCAACGCCGCGUGGAGGAAGACGGUUUUCGGUAUUGUAAACUACCUGUUCUUAGUGAAGAAUAAUGACGGUAGCUAAGGAGCAAGCCACGGCUAACUACGUGCCAGCAGCCGCGGUAAUACGUAGGUGGCAAGCGUUGUCCGGAAUUACUGGGGUGUAAAGGGAGCGCAGGCGGGGGGAGCAAGUCAGCUGUGAAAUCCCAUGGGCGUUAACCCGUGAACUGCAGUUGAAACUGUUCUUCUUGAGUGAAGUAGAGGUUGGCGGAAUUCCGAGUGUAGCGGUGAAAUGCGUAGAUAUUCGGAG
rnacentral:rRNA from 1 species